rnacentral:tRNA from 1 species
GCCUAGUUAGCUUAGUUGGUAGUGCGUCUGCCUUGUAAGCGCUAGGCCGCGGGUACAAUUCCCGCCCGGGGCG